GCGCGUUCACGGGAUAACGGAAAGCCCCAACUGCCGCCCGGGCGCGCGAGGGUCGCAGAGCGACGCCGCCCCAGCCCCAUCUGCAUCGCUCUGCGACCCUCGCCU
rnacentral:sRNA from 1 species